GAUGAACGCUGGCGGCGUGCCUAAUACAUGCAAGUCGAGCGAAUGGAUUAAGAGCUUGCUCUUAUGGAGUUAGCGGCGGACGGGCGAGUAACACGUGGGUAACCUGCCCAUAAGACUGGGAUAACUCCGGGAAACCGGGGCUAAUACCGGAUAACAUUUUGAACCGCAUGGUUCGAAAUUGAAAGGCGGCUUCGGCUGUCACUUAUGGAUGGACCCGCGUCGCAUUAGCUAGUUGGUGAGGUAACGGCUCACCAAGGCAACGAUGCGUAGCCGACCUGGGCGGGUGAUCGGCCACACUGGGACUGAGACACGGCCCAGACUCCUACGGGAGGCAGCAGUAGGGAAUCUUCCGCAAUGGACGAAAGUCUGACGGAGCAACGCCGCGUGAGUGAUGAAGGCUUUCGGGUCGUAAAACUCUGUUGUUAGGGAAGAACAAGUGCUAGUUGAAUAAGCUGGCACCUUGACGGUACCUAACCAGAAAGCCACGGCUAACUACGUGCCAGCCGCCGCCGUAA
rnacentral:rRNA from 1 species